GUCGAACGCUGGCGGCGUGCUUAACACAUGCAAGUCGAACGGGCCUGUCUUCUUUUUUGGGGGUGGGUUGAGUGGCGAACGGGUGAGUAUCACGUGAGUAACCUGCCCUUCGGUCCUGGAUAACCGCUUGAAAGGGCGGCUAAUACGGGGUGGUCCGGUUGGUCCGCAUGGGCUGGUCGGGAUAGAUUCACUGUUUUUGGUGUUUCGGCGGGGGAUGGGCUCGCGGCCUAUCAGCUUGUUGGUGGGGUGAUGGCCUACCAAGGCGGUGACGGGUAGCCGGCCUGAGAGGGUGGGCGGCCACACUGGGACUGAGAUACGGCCCAGACUCCUGCGGGAGGCAGCAGUGGGGGGUAUUGCACAAUGGGCGGAAGCCUGAUGCAGCGACGUCGCGUGAGGGAUGGAGGCCUUCGGGUUGUGAACCUCUGUUUCCGGUGGUGAAGGCCCUGUCCGUGUGGUGGGGUUGACGGUAGCCGGGGAUGAAGCGCCGGCUAACUACGUG
rnacentral:rRNA from 1 species